GACCUCGUAGCUCAGUUGGCAGAGCAUUGGACUAGUAUCCCAAAGGUCGCGGGAUCGAUUCCCACCGUGGUUA